GAUGAACGCUAGCGGCAGGCUUAAUACAUGCAAGUCGAGGGACAGCACAGGUAGCAAUACUGGGUGGUAACCGGCAAACGGGUGCGGAACACGUACACAACCUUCCUUUAAGUGGGGGAUAGCCCAGAGAAAUUUGGAUUAAUACCCCGUAAUAUAGUUGAAUGGCACCAUUUGAUUAUUAUUGCUACGGCGCUUAAUGAUGGUAGUGCGGCUGAUUAGAUAGUUGGCGGGGUAACGGCCCACCAAGUCUACGAUCAGUAGCUGAUGUGAGAGCAUGAUCAGCCACACGGGCACUGAGACACGGGCCCGACUCCUACGGGAGGCAGCAGUAAGGAAUACUGGUCAAUGGACGCAAGUCUGAACCAGCCAUGCCGCGUGAAGGAUUAAGGUCCUCUGGAUUGUAAGCUUCUUUUAUUUGGGACGAAAAAGGGCCUUUCUAGGUCAACUGACGGUACCAGAUGAAUAAGCACCGGCUAACUCCGUGCCAGCAGCCGCCGUAAUAC
rnacentral:rRNA from 1 species